CCUACGGGAGGCAGCAGUGGGGAAUAUUGCACAAUGGGGGAAACCCUGAUCCAGCCACGCCGCGUGAGCGAAGAAGGUUCUCGGUAUGUAAAACUCCAUCAGCAGGGAAGAAAAUGCCGGUACCUGACUCAGAAGCCCCGGCUGACUACGUGCCAGCAGCCGCGGGAAUACGGAGGGGGCAAGCGUUAUCCGGAUUUACCGGGUGUUAAGGGAGCGUAGGCGGUUGUGCAAGCUCGAUGGGAAAGCCCUGGGCUGAACCCCGGGACUGCAGUUGUAACUGUGUGGCUGGAGUGUCGGAGAGGCAGGCGGAAUGCCCGGUGUAGCGGUGAAAUGCGUAGAUAUUGGGAAGAACACCAGUGGCGAAGGCGGCCUGCUGGCCGAUGACUGACGUUGAGGCUCGAAAGCGUGGGGAGCGAACAGGAUUAGAUACCCUUGUAGUC
rnacentral:rRNA from 1 species